ensembl:lncRNA
GCACAUUUCCCUUCCAAUUACCUCCCAGCACGGUCUCCGGUUACCGGACCGCGAGGCGCACCUGGGCCGCGCAGUAGAGUGUGCAGGCUCUUCAAAGAACAAACUUUGUUUUACUAAAGAAGGCGACGACGAGAACAAUGCCCAUACACAGUCACGUGGGUCAUUUGGGAAGAAUAAAGACCACACGGUCAACGGUGAAUCAAACGUUUGUGAUAGGAUCCCAGACCAGAAAGUGGUCGAUCCGUUGGGAGCCUAUAAGGAUGCUGCCCCUGAGCUGCUGGGGGAACUGGAGUCCCUUCUCUCCCGGUACCAGUGGUCCGAGGAGGGCUGUAUUCCACGGGGAGUCGUCAACAUCCUCAACUGCUCGUCACAAGAUCUGACCGCUGUUGUGUUGGAAAGUGGGAAAAGUCCCUUUCAAGGGGCCGACUGCGCAAAACACACUCUGAAUCUGAAAUCACAUAUCCCAGUGGCCGAUAGGAAUACGCCGAAAGAGCUCAUCGUAGAGAGCGUGAGAAAACUGAAAAAGAAGAAGUCCUCCCCAAAACCUCCCUUCGAGAGGAAAGUAAAACCGCGACCAGAUUUGCCAACGAGGGCUUUUUCCCCUGACGCACACAAAGACAGAG